GAUAAACGCUGGCGGCGUGCCUAAUACAUGCAAGUCGAACGAAGGUUUGUAGCAAUACUUACCUUAGUGGCGAAUGGGUGAGUAACGCGUUGGUGACCUGCCCCAAAGAGGGGAAUAACAGUUCGAAAGGACUGCUAAUGCCCCAUGUGGUUAUGGUGUUUAGAAAGCUAUAACUAAAGGAGCAAUCCGCUUUGGGAGGGGCCUGCGUCCCAUCAGCUAGUUGGUAGGGUAACGGCCUACCAAGGCUACGACGGGUAGGGGGCCUGAGAGGGUGGCCCCCCACACUGGCACUGAAACACGGGCCAGACACCUACGGGAGGCUG
rnacentral:rRNA from 1 species